CCUACGGGUGGCUGCAGUAAGGAAUAUUGGUCAAUGGAGGAAACUCUGAACCAGCCAUCCCGCGUGAAGGAUGAAGGGGCUCUGCCUUGUAAACUUCUUUUGUCUGGGGCGAAAAAGCUCGAUUUAUCGAGAACUGACGGUACCAGAAGAAUAAGCACCGGCUAACUCCGUGCCAGCAGCCGCGGUAAUCCGGAGGGUGCAAGAAUUACCCGGAUUAACGGGUUUGAAGGCGGCUUAGUAAGGCAGUGGAGAAAGGCUGUGGCUUAACCAUGGAAUUGCCAUUGAUACUGCAGAGCUUGAAUGAGGUUGAGGUUGGCGGAAUGUGACAUGUAGCGGUGAAAUGCUUAGAUAUGUCAUGGAACACCGAUUGCGAAGGCAGCUGACUGGACCUAUAUUGACGCUGAGGCACGAAAGCGUGGGGAGCGAACAGGAUUAGAUACCCUGGUAGUC
rnacentral:rRNA from 1 species